rnacentral:rRNA from 1 species
AACGAACGCUGGCGGCAGGCCUAACACAUGCAAGUCGAGCGAGGACUUCGGUCCUAGCGGCGGACGGGUGAGUAACGCGUGGGAACGUGCCCUUUGCUUCGGAAUAGCCCUGGGAAACUGGGAGUAAUACCGGAUGAGCCCUUUGGGGGAAAGAUUUAUCGGCGAAGGAUCGGCCCGCGUUGGAUUAGGUAGUUGGUGGGGUAAUGGCCUACCAAGCCGACGAUCCAUAGCUGGUUUGAGAGGAUGAUCAGCCACACUGGGACUGAGACACGGCCCAGACUCCUACGGGAGGCAGCAGUGGGGAAUCUUAGAAAAUGGGGGAAACCCUGAUCGAGCCAUGCCGCGUGAGCGAUGAAGGCCUUAGGGUUGUAAAGCUCUUUCAGCUGGGAAGAUAAUGACGGUACCAGCAGAAGAAGCCCCGGCUAACUCCGUG